UACGAAGGGUGCAAGCGUUACUCGGAAUUACUGGGCGUAAAGGGUGCGUAGGUGGUCGUUUAAGUCCGUUGUGAAAUCCCUGGGCUCAACCUGGGAAUGGCAGUGGAUACUGGACGGCUAGAAUGCGGUAGAGGGUAGUGGAAUUCCCGGUGUAGCAGUGAAAUGCGUAGAUAUCAGGAGGAACACCGAUGGCGAAGGCAGGUCUCUGGGCUGACACUGACGCUCAUGCACGAAAGCGUGGGGAGCAAACAGG
rnacentral:rRNA from 1 species